rnacentral:lncRNA from 1 species
UAAAAUUGACUCCAAUUAAGGCCUACUUAACCUAUGUAAUUCUAGGUAAAGGUUCUAAAUUAUCCUAAAAGGAAGGUGUAAGGUAUCCUUUAAGAUCAGUUAAAAAUUGUUAAUUGGCCAAACUUGUGUUGAUUAAUUUUAAAAGAAAGAUAUGAAUGCUAAAGAUUAAGUGAUUGAAUAAUCAAAUUGGAAACAUUUUUUAAUUGUGAAAGCUCUUUUGUAAUUGUAAUAUAAUGAUAAAGAUUUAAGAAAAAGUAACUCGUCUAGGUAAAUUUAGAAAAAUUUUGUAAUCCAAUGGCUAAAAGAAAGGUAAUUAAAAAAUAGGUAUUUGCUCUCAUUUAUUGACAAAGUGCUUCAUUUAGAAAAGUUUUUUUUAGAAAAAUAGGAGUUUGGAACAUUUUUUUUCUUUUUUCAAAAUACACUACCAAGUUUGAACAAAACAUAAUAAAUUAGUGAGUUUAAAUUUGUACAAAAACAAGUCUUUUGAAAAAAAGUUUGCCAAAUGAAGUUUAUAAAAGCUAAAGCGACUAUGAAGGUUGUUUCUAACUAAAGGUAGCGAAACCCAAACAUCUAUAUUAAGUUAGUUAUUAUGAAACAAGAAAUUAACACAUAUCCAAAACAUAUAAGCAAGUUAAAACAAAUAAAUGCUAAAUAGUAAAAGCGACCCCCAAAUGAAUUUUUCUUGCUAUUUGGAUAGUCUAAGAUAUCGACUUCAUGUGCGGGUAUGAUGGUGUCGAGUCCAUGAGACUCUAAUUUUGGUAGAGUCCUUAAAUGAGCCCUCUUGCACGGUGAGAGUCUUUUAUUGAGACUCCAAAUAGCUCCGGAAGUGUUCAUGCAAAUAAAGAACAAAAUAAAGAGAUUAGGGAGACAAAUCCACUUUAAGACUAUAUCAAAUAAACCAAACAUGAAGCUAGUAAAGUCGUACAACCAAAAUACUAUCCGGAAUGGAAAAUAUGUAAGCAUAGGAUAAGUCGACUUAUUAACAUAACUCAAAGUAACUAGUCUACAAGAUAAAACUAACUCUCAAGUUUAUCCAACUUAAUCUAUAACAAAGUUACAUUUUAAGGCAUGAAGAUAAUUAAAACAAGCCAUCUAUUUAAAACUUAUAAGAAAGAUUUAACAGAUAUACUAUAUAUGUUGACAUAAUAGGAAAGAAACUUAAAAACUAACAUUUUUUAAAAUAACAUAUUCAGAGAUUUACAUGUCAUUUAUUUAGAAAAAUUGAAGGAAGCUUAUGUACACAUAUUUGCUAAAAAAUAAUAGGAAAGAAGUUUAAAGAUUCACAAGCAAUUGACAGUAGGUUUUCCAUUCAACAGAGGGAACACAUAGAGGCAUCAUAACAUAAAAUCUAUUGCCAGAUAAGGAUACCAAAUGCCAUUAAUUUAUAAGAACAGAAGAUUUGAUCACAAAACCAUUAUAUGACAGUUAAAAAUGUAAAAUAAACGUGACUUUGGAUAUCUAAAAGAUUUGAGCUAAGCCCAAAUACAUUUUAAACAUCACCUUUAGUAUAGCUAAAAGUGAGCAGAGACAACAUUUUCGUCAUGAUGACAAAGAAAAAAAAGGAAAAGAGGAACACAUUACAAGUUGGCUAUCGAAAUACAAAGUUUAGGGCAUUUUAUUUGUGCCUUAAUCUAGUAAAAGGCAAUACUCCGACAAACAUAAACGAAGGAAUACAUAUUUGUAUAGGCUGAACAAUAUCUCAAAACAGAGGGAUAUAUAUUUGGUUAACAUCACUUAAGUAUGCUGAUAAGUAUUUUACUCAUUUGUCAAAACUUCAAACAAAGCAUAGUUUCCAAAGAGUUUACUACCUAAAAAUGAGUCUUGGAAACAUGAUUUCUAAAAAAAAAAACAAUCUUCAAAAUACUUUAACAUAUGAUUUUAUAAAAAGAAAUGAACAAAAAGUGAAUAUUAAAAUCAAAGACCAGCUAAGUUACAUUCAUUCAUCAUGAUGCCAAAACACAAAAGUACUGAAAUGAAACUAACAGUAAGUCCAUAACACAAUAAAACACAAAUUCGUCCACAUGUCAUGAAAAUAAAAUAAAAAAGAAACUAGAUGUCACUGACCUAUUUCGGGGCAACGAACUGGGGCGUUUUCGGUCGAAGAUCUAUGCUCGAAUACAAAGACGAGGGUAAGCCUGUUCAAAUCCAAAAUUGUAGCAACAAGAUGAAGAACAAGGCUUUAAAACUAGGUGUGAUAGCUUCAAAGCUUUUAGGGUAAACGAGUAGCUGAAAAAAUUAUCGAAAUUGAUUCCAAUUACAAGUAUUUAUAGGGAGAAAAACAGAGUCUAUGAGCGGGAGUUUGAAUUUUUGAAUUUGUCAAAAAAACAAACCUUCAAAUCCAAACGUUUGAAGCCCUUAGGAUAAGAUUUGCUGGAGCCACGUGAUUGAGAUGACAUCGGUGUGAAGAUGUAGUAGCUACCCUCUGCUUAUCGUUGACAAAAUACGCUACUUUUCCAGAAAAAAAUGAAAGAAGAGACAUGAUGUGCGACCGCUAAGUGAAAAGACAGGAGAUUGAAACCUAAAGAGACUUGGAUAAAUUUAAAAAUAAGGAUAUUUGGGCUGCUGCAUUUUUGGGCCUCCAAAUGGGGUCUUUUUUCGAUAAAUUUAGUAGUCCCAAAGGCUGAAUAAUUUUUGGGUCUCAAAUUGAAUCAAAUUUUGUGGCCCAAUUAGCUGAAAUAGUUUUCGGGUCGUUCAUUCUUUAAAUCAAUUCUUUCGAGCUUCUAAUUUAAUAACUAACAUAAUAUAUGUAAAAAAUAAAAUACUAAUAUUAUAUUUUCGCUAAUGAUUUAGAAAAAUAUUACUAACUUAUAACUAAUUAAUUAAGUAGGAACUUUGAAAUAUGAUGACAAUAAUAGAAUGUUUAAAAAGUAAUUUUAUACUAAUUCUAAGAGGAAUAACAAUCAUAAAAUAAAUAAUAUUAAUAAUAAAAUAGUAGUAGUAGUAAGUCGUAAAUAUUAUAGGAAUUAAUGGAAAAAAUAUUUAUUAACUUAGAAGCUCAAAAAAUAUAAUUUGAAGAAAGAAGGGUCAAAAUUGGGUUUCAACAUUUGAAAGUAUUGAACUUAGGCAGCGUGUACCCUAGCGGAAAUUCAACAUUUGAAUGCACACAUAAAUUCUCUUACUUGAAGCUCUGACAAAUUUUUGAGCGCAACUCUUCAUCAAAAGCUUUUCUCAGAUUGUGAAGCUCUUUUCCCAAAUCUUCAUGGAAAAUUGAUUGAAUAUCCUUCUCACGUCUAGAAUAUAGACCAGCUGCUAAUUGGUUAUGCUUAUUUUCAUUGUAAGGAAAUACAAGUGUGGGAGGAUGGAUAUUUGGCAUCAUGGUGACUUGAAAGUUAUUGGGAUUGAUAGUGUAUAUUGAUGGCAUUUGUGGAGGGAUUGCAUAGGUAGAAGCUGAGUGAGGAGAUAUGGUUAGACAAAUAUUCUAAGUUGAGCUGGAAGCUUUGGUGGUGGUAGGAAGAAGGCUAAAGGUAGUUUUCAAAUUGACCAAAUUAUUUCUUCGAACCACAUUCUUCUUAUAAUCAUCAUUUUGUGCUUGCACAGAUCUCAUGCCGUUGUUGAAUGCUUUCAAUUCGUUUUCCAUUGUAGCUUCGUCCUUUAUACAGAUUCGCAGUCAAAACGGUGUUCAAUGCUAGAUAACCUCUAAAGAAGAAACAAACUAUAUAUAAAAAAAAAAAAUAGUGCAUGAGAAUAACUGCAAAAAUAAUAAAUAUGAGAUAAAAUAGAUUAUGCAUGUGCUUUUGUAAAAUAUGAACUUUUGGCUUAAGGCAAUGAUUUAAGUUUUAAAACGAGUGGACGAGAGAAGGUAUUAGCUAGUGGGCUCUAACGUUGGAAAUAUAAGGAAAGGAAAUUGAUUUGGAGUAGAAAAAAUAAUUUGGAGAAAGGUUGACUCAUGUCGAACAUCAAAUUUUGACUUCAACUUGAUCCUUAUUCUUUGUAAACUUGUUCAUGCUUCCAACUCGGUUAUGUGCCAAAAUUAUGCCCCAGCUUCUUCGGAGGAAUACUAAAAUUUUAUAAUAAAUCGACCGAGCCUUAUAUAGGCUGCCUACGUAUCCACCAAGGAAAUCAGGUCAAGCGUAGUUCGUCUUACAUAAAAAGGAAUUUAAAACAUACAAAUAAUGAUCACCUAAGUUCGCAAAAUACAUCAUUGCUUAGAUGCUACACAAAAACUAAUUGCCCUUCUCUAUGGCUCAUAAAAGUCAUCUUUUGAGAAAGCCCCCAUACGCCUAAUGAUUGUUCUGAUUGAAAUCAUUCUUGGUACUUUGCUCGGCUAUAUCAUAAUUGUUUGCAGAAGAUGCAUGAAAUGGUGAAUUUGGUGCAAUAAUCUUUGGUACAACAGUUUCUUGACUAUGAGAAGGAACUUGACUAACAGAUUGCGAAUAAAUUGCUCGAUUGUGACUUGACGUCGGCAUGACGACUGAAAGUUGAUGCCAAACAAACUUAGGGCUAGGUACCAGUCGUUGAAUGAUCAUGCCACUAUCCAAUAGAUUUUGGAUCUCUUCUUUCAAAUAUUGGCACUCAUCGGUAGUGUGACCUAACAUACCUGAAUGGAAAGCACAUUGUUUGGCCGGGUUAAAAGGAUGCAAAGGGGUUUCAUUAGGCCUUGGUUGCAAAAUUCCUAAUGAUCUCAAUUUUUCGAAUAUGAAUGAAAUUGGUUUACUCAAAGGGAUGAAAGUUUGAGCUUUUCUCACUUCAGGAACUAGUGGAGGAACAUUUGGUGCUUCAGUGACAAUUGUCUUCCCUUUGUCCCUAGAUUGUAGCUCAUUCGAACAAUAAUGCCCCAAAGUUGUUUCUGCCACUUUCUUUUGGGAUUCAUGCCCUUAAUUUAAUUCCCUCAAUAGACUAUAGAUUUCCUUUUCAACAAACCAUACCCUUUAGAUGCACUAUUAGGAGGCCUAUAUUGCUUAAUAAAAUCUUUGGCUAAAUCGACCCAAGAGAGUUAUUUCCUUGUGUCUUGGUUUGCAUACCACAUCAAGGUUGGCCUUGUAAGAGUCCUAACAAAAAGUAUCAUAUUAAAUUCAUUGUCUUGCCCUAUGCUUGCUAACCAAUCAAGAUAUGCCUUCAAGUGGGUCUGGGGAAGACCUGUCCCAUCAUACAUUGGAAUAUCAACAAGAUUAUAAGGUGUCUCGUUCUCAUUUUCCAUCUCAACCAAAUUUGUCUCAAGUUGUGAAGCAAGCUCAUUUGUGAAAGAAAUUUGGUUAGUCUCAGUAUUAAAAUGUCUUCCACCAUCUUCUCCAUCUUUGCUUGUUUCGCUCAAAUUCUCAAAUGCCUCAUUCUGUGAAACUGGAUGCAUGUUUGAAAAGUACUGAGCAUUACAAUCAAAGUUGGAAUAUGCAGUUGCGCGAAUAGGAGAGUAUCCCUCUAAAUCUUCAUCGGAGGAGUCUUUAAGAUCAUAAUCCAAUGAGUCUUUAAUCGAAGAGUUCUUAAUAUUGGCUAUCAUUUCUUUGAUGUCGUGAAUCUCUUGUUCCAUUUUUGCCACUUUUCCCUCAAGCUUAGUAAUUUUAUCUUGGUAUGAUUCAGCUUCUUCACAGUUAAACUCAUCUUCAACUAAGUCAAUCACAAAUCGAUCAGCCAUGUUUUUCUUGAGUUUGUUAGUCCCUUUGAUGCUCAACUUAAGUCAACCUUUGGAAGGAAAAUAAAAUAUUUGGUAAGCGUGGAGUAAGUAUGCGAAAGGUCAAGAGUAGAGCAUUUAAAAACCAACGGGAUCUAGUCCUAUAAGGGAUACCAUUUAAGAAAAUAAAUAAAUAAUAAAACAAAUUUGAUGAAAAAGCUCGAGAUUAAGAAAAUUAAGGUUAAUCGAGUGCACAAGAGUUGAAAUUGAUAAAUUGAAAGGUUGAAUGACCUUAAGCUCUAUUUUAGUAUUGGCGGAUUUAAAAUUAUUAAGGAUGGAGAAAAUGUCAAACAAUUAAAAAACCUUUGAGAUUUCCCUCGACUUGCAUGCCGAUACUUGGAAUUAGUAUGUAAAAAGAAUGGUACGACUAUCUUGAAUUGAAGAAGCAUUGCACUUAAUGGAGAAAAAAAUGAACAAAUAUCGACAAGUGCUAUUUGGUAGAUUACACGAAUCUACCAAUUUAAGAAGUAACAAAUAAUGAGAAAAUUCGAAGAAAUUUGGAGAACAACUAAGAGCUCAAUGAUGUAAACCGAAUGCUAAAUAGAUUCUACAAAAUGCAGAAAUAGUGAAAAAAGUUUUUGUCGCUAGAAAGGUAGGUUUAUAUCCGUAAAGGAGGGACUUCAAAAAAUUCGAGAGUGUAAAGAUUUAUAAGAGUGAAUUUUGGCACGAGUCUAUAAAAUUUGGAGUGUUAAGGGGCAAAAAAUAUCACACCUAAUUUUGAACAACUAUGCCAAUUUUAAAAAGUAAGAAGAAAAUUCUUAAAGCAAGUCGUGGAUAUGAAUAUUGAGAAAAUCGAAGGAAGAAAACAAAUUUGGUAAAUUUUAAAGGAAGAAAGUGAGUUUUGGUAAAAUAUUACCUAAAUUUUUUUUAAAAACAAGGUCAUUAAAAAUAUGUGCAAGCCUAGGAUUAUUAUGAGCCUAAUCGAUGCUUUAGAAUUGUUAAAGUGCACUAAGUGUGGAAAUAUAAAUAUAAAAACAAAAAGUUUAUGAACAUGACUUAAGAAUUUGUAAAGGUGCGAUAGGUAAUCAAAUAAAGAAAUAAAUAAAGGCAAAUAAUUUUCUCUUCUGAAAAUAAGAAAAACAAAGAUGGUGUUGGUAAUAGUCAAUUAAAAUCACGUUGCAAAUAAAUUCAUAUAGGUCACGUAGGAAGUCAGCAAGCAAAUAUUUAUAAAGCACGUAACACAAGUAUAUCAAAUAAUGCGUCCUACUAUAUAGGGGACCUCUUUAUGCUAGAGGUAGGCCUAAUGCGUAUUUGAAAAAUAAAUGUACCAAAAUAUGUCAUUCCAUUGCUCUUGAUUUACUUAAGCGAAUCUAUUCCCCAAAUUAAAUACAAAAAUAGCCUUAAGCUUUAUUACAUCUCAAAAAAGAAUAAAGAAAUAAAGCUCUUCAUCGCAUCUACGCAUCUUCUUCUCAUGGCAUGCUCGUGGUUUAAUCUCCAUAGGCCAAAACUUGUGAUCUUCAUAGCUAUUUGCAUCACAAAAGGGUUAAUACCCUCCCUCCUAAGUUUAAUUAAUUUAGAACCAAUGGUCCAUAUUUUGGCUAAACUAUUUUUCAAAUAAUGCACACACAAAUGAUAAGAGUCACUCGGGGUCGUGAACCCACUUGGACAUUUGGAUAAAGUUGACUAAUGAACUUAAUACACCAAGGGUAUUAAACCUCUUAGAUUUAUAUGAUGCAUGUACCGUAAAAGGUGUUGGUUCAGCUCUAUCCUAGGUUGAUUAAGAGUGGGUUUACUAGACACAAGGUUCCCAAGUGGACAACUCGAGUGAGAAGGCUACACGGUCACACGGAAAAAGAUUUGGACACCCCGUGCAUACACCAACUCUCCUAAAUUUGGGAUUUUGAAAGAAAUUUGUGGGUGCGCAAAACACACAUCGCGUGUACGUGUGAUUGUGUGAAUUUUCUAGAAAUGGAAGAAUUAUGAGCGGAAUGACAAUUUUUAUGAAGCAGUAACAAAUAAACAAUUUAUAUAGAGCAUUAACAAAUAAACAGUUUAUGUCACAUAAGCACGAUAAUAAAACAUUUAAGCAACUAAAAUAAACAAACAAUUAAAAACACAAGCAAAUACUAAAAACCUUAAUUAUUAACCUAAGUCUGUUAUGGUUUAAAACCUAAUUUUCCCCAGUGAAGUCGUAAUUUCUGUUAUACCCCAUUUUAACUCGAGGUCCAAAUUGUGUACAACAUUUUGGUGAUUUCCAAAUUAUUACCUAACUUAAGAAGUCGCCACCUAAUUAUUACGGUGAAUUAGGACACCUAAAUAUUUGACUAAGUAAUACUAAAAUUGACUCCAAUUAAGGCCUACUUAACCUAUGUGAUUCUAGGUAAGGGUUCUAAAUUAUCCUAAAGGGAAGGUGUAAGGCAUCCUUUAAGAUUAGUUAAAAACUAUUAACCGGCCAAACUUAGGUUAAUUAAUUUUGAAAGAAAGAUAUGAAUGCUAAAGAUUAAGUGAUUGAAUAAUCAAAUUGGAAACAUUUCUUAACUGUGAAAGCUCUUUUGUAAUUGUAAUAGAAUGAUAAAGAUUUAAGAAAAAGUAACUCGUCUAGGUAAAUUUAGACAAAAUUUGUGAUCCAAUGGCUAAAAGAAAGGUAAUUAAAAUAAAGGUAUUUUCUCUCAUUUAUUGACAAAGUGCUUCCUUUAGAAAAGUAUUUUUAGAAAAAUAGGAGUUUUUUUCUUUUUCGAAAUACACUACCAAGUUUGAACAAAACUUAAUAAUUAGUGAGUUUAAAGUGGUGCAAAAAGAAGUGUUUUAAAAAAGAGUUUGCCAAAUGAAGUUUAUAAAAGCUAAAGCGACUAUGAAGGUUGUUUCUAACUAAAGGUAGGGAAACCCAAACAUCUAUAUUAAGUUAGUUAUUAUGAAACAAGAAAUGAACACAUAUCCAAAACACAUAAGCAAAUUAAAACAAAUAAAUGCUAAAUAGUAAAAGCGACCCUCAAAUGAAUUUUGCUCACUAUUUGGAUAGUCUAAGAUGUCGACUUCAUGUGCGGGUAUGAUGGUGUCGAGUCCAUGAGACUCUAAUUUUGGUAGAGUCCUUAAAUGAGCCCUCUUGCACGGUGAGAGUCUUUUAUUGAGACUCCAAAUAGCUCCGGAAGUGUUCAUGCAAAUAAAGAAAGAAUAAAGAGAUUAGGGAGGCGAAUCCACUUUAAGACUAUCAAAUAAACCAAACAUGAAGCUAGUAAAGUCGUACAACCAAAAUACUAUCCGGAAUGAAAAAUAUGCAAGCAUAGGAUAAGUCGACUUAUUAACAUAACUCAAAGUAACUAGUCUACAAGAUAAAACUAACUCUCAAGUUUAUCCAACUUAAUCUAUAACAAAGUUACAUUUUAAGGCAUGAAGAUAAUUAAAACAAGCCAUUUAUUUAAAACUUAUAAGAAAGAUUUAACACAUAUACUAUAUAUGUUGACAGAAUAGGAAAGAAACUUAAAAACUCAUAUUUUUUUAAAUAAACUAUUCAGAGAUUUACAUGUCAUUUAUUUAGAAAAAUUGAAGGAAGCUUAUGUACACAUAUUUGCUAAAAAAUAAUAGGAAAGAAGUUUAAAGAUUCACAAUAUUGACAGUAUGUUUUCCAUUCAACAGAGGGAACAAAUAGAGGCAUCAUAACAUAAAAUCUAUUGCCAGAUAAGGAUACCAAAUGCCAUUAAUUUAUAAGAACGGAAGAUUUGAUUACAAAACCAUUAUAUGAUGGCUAAAAAUGUAAAAUAAACAUGGCUUUGGAUAUCUAAAAGAUUUGAGCUAAGCCCAAAUACAUUUUAAACAUCACAUUUAGUAUAGCUAAAAGUGACCAGAGACAACAUUUUCAUCAUGAUGACAAAGAAAACAGAGGAAAAGAGGAACACAUUACAAGUUGGCUAUCGAAAUACAAAGUUUAGGACAUUUUAUUUGCGCCUUAAUCUAGUAAAAGGCUAUACUCCGACAAACAUAAACAAAGCAAUACAUAUUUUUAUAGGCUUAACAUUAUCUCAAAACAGAGGGAUAUAUAUUUGGUUAAACAUCACUUAAGUAUGCUAAUAAGUAUUUUACUCAUUUGUCAAACUUCAAACAAAGCAUAGUUUCCAAAGAGUUUACUACCUAAAAAUGAGUCUUGGAAACAUGAUUUCUAAAAAAAAAUAAAACAAUCUUCAAAAUACUUUAACAUCUUAUUUUAACAAAAGAAAUGAACAAACAGUGAAUAUUAAAAUCAAAGAUCAGCUAAGUUACAUUCAUUCAUCAUGAUGCCAAAACACAAAAGUACUGAAAUGAAACUAACAGUAAGUCCAUAACACAUUAAAACACAAAUUCGUCCAUAUCUCAUGAAAAUAAAAUAAAAAAGAAACUAGAUGUCACUGACCUAUUUCGGGGCAGCGAACUGGGGCGUUUUCGGUCGAAGAUCUAUGCUCGAAUACGAAGACGAGGGUAAGCCCGUUCAAAUCCAAAAUCGUAGCAACAAGAUGAAGAACAAGGCUUCAAAACUAGGUGUGAUAGCUUCAAAGCUUUUAGGGUAAACGAGUAGCUAAAAAACUUAUUGAAAUUGACUCCAAAUACAAGUAUUUAUAGGGAGAAAAACAGAGUUUAUGAGCGGGAGUUUGAAAUUUUGAAUUGGUCAAAAAAACAAACCUUCAAAUCCAAACGUUUGAAGCCCUUAGGAUAAGAUUUACAGGAGCAACGUGAUUGAGAUGACAUCAGCAUGAAGAUGGCGUUUUUUGUUGACAAAAUACGCUACUUUUCUAGAUAAAAAUGAAAGAGGAGACAUGAUGUGCGACUGCUAA